UUUGUGGUUAAAUAAGUUUAGAAAUGCUGCCCCCUUUGAAAGAUUUACGAGGCACAUGGAAAUGUUAAAGGCCCUAAAGUUCUGCAGCAAAAAAUCAUGUUUAUCUCAACUUGUUCUAAACUUAUGAAACUCCUAUUAAUUAAUUAAUACCUAUUAACAGCUCAUUAAAGUAAUCAGCCUGUUAAGACAAAAGCCUGGUCAAGACCUGGCGAUUAAUACCCCAUCCCUGCAUCAGGUGACACGUGCGCCACCUGCUGGUGAUAUGGGGUAUGAGGGCACUUACUCGGGAAGCUUCUAUUUUCACAAAAUUGCACUCGGAAUCCAGAGUUCAUUGUCACAGUGCACUUGAUUAUGUCUUUUCACGUUUAACAAACCAGGGGCUGAACAACAUAGCUAGCCAUAAUUUAGUUACAAAAGGAAGUUUUUCAUGCGGACCAUCCACAUGGAAGUCAAACGAUACAAAUCAGUGCUGAAUACCAGUGUCCAAGAAAAGUGAAGCGUCUGAUACAAUGGGAACAAAGAAUUCUAGGGUUUUAUAGACUAAAUAUUUGCGAUAAUAAACUCAAUUAGUCUGUUCUAUUUAUCCCCUAAUUUCAAGUCCAACCGAUUUUUAGCAGACUUAUCCAAUGUCUAAUAGACUGAUGAACCAAGCUACAAUCCUAUCAAAACUGAUAUUAGACCUUUUCACUUAAAUUGUUAAGUUUCACUACUCUUGGUUCUCAAGGUUUUAAUUGCUAAAAUGAUAUCAUAAUUGAUUGGGGGAGAAGAAAGGAAAUAAAUAAAAAUAAAGGACAAGAAUGUGAUCAUAAGGUACAUUUAUACCGUAAUUAUUUGAAGAGUUUAUAUUAUCAUACAUUUGUUUAUAGACAACCACACAGUCUAAGGAGAAAAAUUUUUAAUGUUUUCUACAAAUAAUGUUUCACAAUCUGUUCUAUUUAUCUUCCUGCCUCAAAACAAUAUUUAACUGCAGAGUUGUUGUUGUUUUUUUUUUUACCAGAACAUCACAUAAGUUUAUUUCAGAUGCAAUAGCAAUUUUAAAAUCAACAAGUUUAAAUCUUAACUUCACCAAGUAAACUUAGCUAGUUAAGUAUUUUUAAAGUUAUUCCCUCCAAAAAACUGAGGGAGCUUUUCUUUUCCACCUCACAUCCCACGGUUUCCCAAUAGUUCUAUUUUUGGAGGACUUUCAAUUGAUGAGUAAAUGCUAGCAGAGGCUUUUAAACCACACUUUUUACUAGACUGGCUAAAGGUUUAAGCAUCAAAGCAGUUGCUACACAACACUGGGUGCAUUGAAAAGCAUUGGGCAGCCUGGUUUCCAUUUUCCUUCUUCACUCUUAUCUCCGUCUUCUUCAUCUUUCAUCUGGGUUUCUCCAAGAAACCUCCAACUCUCCGAGAAAAAGCAGCAUGCUCUGCAGCCAUGUGCCUAAUCCUUCUACAGCAAAGAUGCUUAUGUUCCAAGUUUCAAAUUUUUAAAGAAAGAUACUCCUACUUUGACAUACUAACAAGUAUCUGCAAGUAAUUUUACUCUCAAAGAAGCAUACCCUGCAGCAUGUCAGCCUCACUUUAGAAGAUUGUUGAAAUUCAGCUCUUGGAGCAGACUUCCCAGCAUUUAAAAUCAAUGGCCACACCCUCAUGUAACUGUAGAAAUCCUGGAUUGGCCAAAAGUUUGUUUGGAUUAUUCCAUAAACUGGUAAGGAAAACCUGAAUGACCUUUUUGGCCAACCCAAUACGAUGAUUCCGGGGCUUUAUUCCUAUAGUCUGUGCAGGGCAGGCAAGCCUCUGAAUGUUUAAAGCGCCCAAUGGGUGCUGAUCCAGCCACCUAUGGAGACUCUUUCUUUAAGGUUGAUGAUGGAUCCACUCCCGAAGGGCCGAUCAAGAUAAGGCAGGACCUCUGUUUCUAUAAAGCAUCCCACAGGUCAUGUGAAUGAGCACAGAAGGCUGAGAAGUUCUGCUCCAAGAAGUGCUAAGAGCAAGGACAACGGUGGAAAGAUCUAUUUCAAUCUGCCAGUGAAUUGUUAGUGCAGAGAAGGAGAGGCAGGUGUGCUAACCAGCUUUAGAGUAAUUAUUAGUGAAGGAUGCAGGGAAUCAGGUGAACAGAAGAUAGGGUGCUGUGACUUCUCAAUCUAAAAAAGAUUCACAGUGGCAUUUCAAUGACCUUAAUUCUUAACCCCAGCUGCUCUCUAGAAGCUUCCGGGAGUAAGCUUUUAAAAAUUACCUUCGCUGUUCACCUGAAGCCACCACAACAUUGUUAAUCUGCUAUACCCUGAUACAAAAUACAAAGUUUAAAAUAUAAAAUAAAAAUAAGCCAAGCCAAGGCCCUACUCCAGACCAGUUAAAUCAGAAUCUAUGGCUGGGGGUGGACUCUUAUUUUACCAGCCCCUGGGGUGACUCCAGAGGGCCACCGGCUUCAGUACCAUUGCUCUAUGACACGCGAGAGGCCGUUCGCGACACCUGCUAUUGUUGACAUCACAAACAGGACACAUUUGUCUCCAGACCCGUGAAGGUCAGCCUUUAGAAGAAAUGAAUGCUUGGCACUAUCCCCUCGCUCCACGUAUUAAACCAUCAUGAGUAGGACUCACUUAUUUCUAAAAGCAGUGGCCACCUGCUUUCUUCCCAGGAUUUGUAGCUGUGUAUCACUUAGAGCAAAAGCCAGAAAGUUCUAAAUUUGCUAGUUAAAAUUGGAGGGAGGUGGGAAGUAGCACUUGUGGAAUCGUGCGACCUGUUGCUUGGCAACCUUGAGUUCAGCUUCUGCAUUCUGUGAGCCGUCAGAGUCACCAAGUUUGCUGAGCCGGGUUGAUUACUUCCCACUACAAAAAGGAAAUUAAUUCUGCAUGACGGAGAGGGCUCAAAAAGCUGUCCUUCAAAGCCGGCCAUGUCACACUUCUUCUACUUGACACCACAAAUUGUUCUGCCCUUCAGCCCUCUCACUUCUCAAGAGUUUGAUGUGAUCAGACGGAAGGCGGCAGCAUCUUGGCAGGAUGAAGCAAGGUGGUCAGAUUUGUCUGUGACAACGUACAUGGGCAGUUACAGGGAAAAGCAGCUGGACGAGUCCACGGGCGGCCGACUUAGAGCAGGACAGCCCUGGCCUGAGCGUCACAAGAUGGCAUUGCCAAACUGCUUUGCUGGCAGGGCUGAGCUCCAAGAGACCACAGAUGCUAAAGGACUGUUACCGCAUAUAAGCAGUUCCUUUAAAAAUUCAUCUAUUGUCAAGCAUGGAGUGGCACACCAAAUUCUGUCUGGGGAUUUUCCUCCAGCACAUCCUCCUCCAGGUUAUGAAAGACCAUAUGCGAGAAUUAAAAAGCCAGCACAGAAGAGCCUGAUGAAGUACAGUCUUCUAUGGAGAGAGCUCCUGAAACCUUUUCGUGAACCAAGUGAUUCUAUAAGCAAGACUAGUUCAUCUGGAGGCUCAGAAGCUGAUCAAGUCGUUUAUAUUCGGAAAGGACCAUUCUCGUCAUUCGUUUAGCUGAGUUGGAAAGCGAAGCCACAAAGUUGGCGGCUCCGAGCCUGCUUUAUUAACGACUUGGAGCUCCUACUAACAUGAGCAGGAUUUACAUUUUCCUGUUUUAAAGAUCCAGCUGGCAAGAAUUAUGAAUGGGAGAACAGCUAACUCAUAAAGAAGAGGCUCUGAUGGAUAACCUCAGACCAUUCAGACCUUGGACAGGAGAAGAAUGGGCCCCUUGGUCCAUAGAGCCACACUUUAUUUACCCCAGGGCCAGCGU